GGGGUCGUAGCUCAAUGGGAGAGCACCGCGUUUGCAACGCGGGGGUUGUCGGUUCGAGUCCGAUCGACUCCA
rnacentral:tRNA from 2 species